AAAAUAAAAAUAAAUAAAAGUGUUGGCUUCUGUCAGUUUUUGAGUUUAAGUUUGUCUCACACUUCAUCACGCCCGGGACACCCUUCCGCGCAGCACGCGUUUCCACGUUGCCGUUUUCCUCACGUGCAGCCACACAGACACCAGCAAGGUGCUCGGCGACCAGCGGUCCCCUUUUCCAACAGCCUAAGGAAACGAGGUCCUGUGUUCCUUGCCACCUUGAAGCAAUUCGGCUCAAAACGGAGCCUUGGAACUUAUUGCGACAAUUAGGCUGGCACGAAAGCAAGACAGGAUUUUGUCGACUUCUGUUUCGAGAAAAUGCACCAUGUUGAUUUCACUGGAAAAUGCAUGUACAUCAGUGGUUUAAGAAAUAGGUUAUUGUGGGCUUGUUUGCCAGGAUCUUCAGAAUUGAAACUGGUGACAAAAUAACCCGGUGUGAGUCCAAAGAUCUUAAGAGGAGAUUCCCCAAGACCUUCGGCAGCACGAGCCCACAGGAUUCUUUUCCAUGACGGGUUAUUACAAGAUACGGACUAUAGGUCCCUGUGCGAUACAGUGACUUCUCUUUGGCUUGUGGAUGUCGGUGUAUGUGAUGGUUGCCCUGCGGUCACGCCUUUUAUAGAGGCAGGAACACAAGGCAUCGGGGGAAGAGGUGAAGGAAUGGAGCCCCCAGGAGUGUGGAGUCACCUGUGCCCUUCCAGCCUGUCCCACUGUUAAUGCCCUGGGCCUCCUGAAACCUAAGACGCAGAGGGAAAUACGACACAUGACACUCAGCCGUCCUUGUUUCAGCAAACAGAAAUCCCGGGGGAUCCCAGGGCAAUUAUAGGUCAUCUUAUUCCUCAGCACUUAACAAAGCCCCCAGUGCUAGAUACUGAACAUUAAAUAAGCAGGUGUGCAUCUGCUC